rnacentral:rRNA from 1 species
AGUGAACGCUGGCGGUAGGCCUAACACAUGCAAGUCGAACGGCAGCACAGUAAGAGCUUGCUCUUACGGGUGGCGAGUGGCGGACGGGUGAGGAAUACAUCGGAAUCUACUUUUUCGUGGGGGAUAACGUAGGGAAACUUACGCUAAUACCGCAUACGACCUACGGGUGAAAGCAGGGGAUCUUCGGACCUUUCGCGAUUGAAUGAGCCGAUGUCGGAUUAGCUAGUUGGCGGGGUAAAGGCCCACCAAGGCGACGAUCCGUAGCUGGUCUGAGAGGAUGAUUGGCCACACUGGAACUGAGACACGGUCCAGACUCCUACGGGAGGCAGCAGUGGGGAAUAUUGGACAAUGGGCGCAAGCCUGAUCCAGCCAUACCGCGUGGGUGAAGAAGGCCUUCGGGUUGUAAAGCCCUUUUGUUGGGAAAGAAAAGCAGCAGGUUAAUACCCCGCUGUUCUGACGGUACCCAAAGAAUAAGCACCGGCUAACUUCGUG